UACAGAGGUCCCAAGCGUUGUUCGGAUUCAUUGGGCGUAAAGGGUGCGUAGGUGGUCGGGUAAGUCUGAUGUGAAAGCUCUGGGCUCAACCCAGAAAUGGCAUUGGAUACUAUCUGGCUAGAGGAAUGGAGGGGGGACUGGAAUACUUGGUGUAGCAGUGAAAUGCGUAGAUAUCAAGUGGAACACCAGUGGCGAAGGCGAGUCCCUGGACAUUUCCUGACACUGAGGCACGAAAGCUAGGGGAGCAAACAGG
rnacentral:rRNA from 1 species